ACCCUAAUUCCAUGCUAAAUCGUGAAUCCGUUUUUUCCCAAUUUCGUGAACCGAUUCGUGAAUCCCUAAUCCGUGAAUCCAUUGAAGAAUCCCUAAUUCAAAAUCCCUCGUUAAAGGGUUUCUGAAUCAUCAAAGGUUUUCCAGAACUAUCGGCUUUGUGGAUGCUGGAAUCAACUUUUCUUUGCAAGUUUUCAAGAAUGCUCAUCUUACUUAGUGGAGGCAGUAAGCAGUUGUUGAAUGCAAGUUAAUUUGGAACCGAAGCACUAUAUCAUCCGGGAUUUUGCAAAGACAACUCUUUCUCAAGGUUAGUCAUCCCUAUGUUAAUUUGGAACCAGACUGAACUGUUAGUGUUUGCAAUAGUUAGUGUUUGCAUCAGUUAGUAUUUCUCAAGGUUGAGAAUUAUUUAUGAAUUGAUUUUGUGGUUAUGAGGAGGCUAUGGAAUUUCCUAAGUUCUGCUUAAUUAUUUCUUAUGGGGUCAAACUAAAAGAGCUGAAAAAGUUUGUGCUGGUUUAGAUUUGUUUUUGUGGAACCAAGGUUUCUGGUAUGUUGAUGAUAUUGAUGCAUGUUUUCAUCCUUCCUCUUAUCUUGAAUGUCCUUCAUGUGGUUCUCUUGAUGAUGUUGCCUCCGAGUAAUUUCCAGUUGUUGCAUUGUGUAUUGAUGAUGCGGCUGCUUGAGUGCUUUAUAGAUGAACUCAUAUCUGUAGUUUAGUUUCCCUUUUGUUGCUUGAUGUAUGUCCUCUAAUGCUCUAGAUUGUCCUGUUCUUGAUGAGAUAUUUGUUGUUGAGCCUUCCUUGCUUCAGGCUGAAGGUGAUGUUUUCAUUGUGCCACCUGAUUUGGCUGUUGUGCUUCUUGAAUUAUCUGCUGUGCCUGCAUUCCAUAACUGAUUUCUGA